UGGUCAAGUUAUUAAGGGUGCAGGGCGGAUGCCUUGGCACUAGGAGCCGAUGAAGGACGUGAUAAGCUGCGAUAAGCUUCGGGGAGUUGCACGUAAACUUUGAUCCGAAGAUUUCCGAAUGAGGAAACUCACUUAGAGUAAUGUCUAAGUAUCAUUAAGUAAAUACAUAGCUUAAUGAGGGGAACUCAGGGAACUGAAACAUCUAAGUACCUGAAGGAAGAGAAAGAAAUUCGAUUCCGUAAGUAGCGGCGAGCGAACGCGGAUUAGCCCAAACCAAU
rnacentral:rRNA from 1 species